GAUGAACGCUGGCGGCGUGCCUAAUACAUGCAAGUCGAGCGAACAGACCCUGCUUUUGCUCCGCGGACGUUAGGGGCGGACGGGUGAGUCACAUGUGUAUAACCUACCUGUAAGACUGGGAUAUUUACGGGAAACGGGCUCUUAUACGGGAUGAUAUAUUGAACCACGUGGUGCAAUGGUAAGAUUCGGUGGUUGUGUCACUUAUAGAUGGAUCUCGGCCGCAUUAGCGGGUUGUUGAGGUAACAGCUUACCAAGGCAACGAUGCGUAGCCGACCGAAGAGGGUGGUCGGCCACACGGGAAGUGAGCCGGGGACAAUACUCCUACGGUAGGCCGCAGUCGCGAAUCGUACGCAAUGGUGGAAAGCAUGACGGAACAACCCGGAGUGAGUGAUGACGGUCUCCGGAUCGGAAAACUCUGUUAUUAGUGGAGAACCAAUGUCUCCGUAACUAUGCACGUAUUGACGGUAACUGAUCAAAAAGCCCCGGCUAACUACGUG
rnacentral:rRNA from 1 species